rnacentral:rRNA from 1 species
CAAUAGCAUAUAUUAACGUUGUUGCAGUUGAAAAGCUCGUAGUUGAACUUUUGGUAGGAGCGACCUGGCCUUGGGCGCGUGCCCUUGUUUGCCGUGUGUCGUGUCUGGCCAUCCUUUUCUUCGUUUUUCGGAGGAAUCUUUUACUGUGAGUAAACUGGAGUGCUCAAAACAAGACGUUUGUUUGGUACAUUAAAGCAUGGAAUAAUAAGAUAGGACCUGGUUACUAUUUUGUUGGUUUGCAUAGCUAGGUAAUGAUUAACAGGGACAGUUGGGGGUAUUCGUAUUUAAUUGUCAGAGGUGAAAUUCUUGGAUUUAUGAAAGACGAACGACUGCGAAAGCAUUUACCAAGGAUGUUUUCAUUAA